CUCACAGGCCCAGGCAGGAUGGCACGUGCUUGUCCAAUUCCUGGCCUGGACCCAUCCCCGCGGGGGCAUCGGCCCAGGACGGAACAGGUAGCAUCUAGGUCCUCCUUUUAAUGGGCUCAGACCCGGCAAUCUCCUCUCAGCCUGCCGCUCGGUAGCUCUGCGCCCUCGGGCAUUUCACCUCCCAGGUCUCAGUUUUGCUGCUCAUAAAAUGGUUGGACCAUCUGGAGGGGAGGUGUGCGGGCGCGUGGAAGGAGGAAGGUGAGGGUGCUUCCCAGGGAGGGCCAGGUGAAGCCGGGAGUCGAGCAUUUUCCUAAGAUUGCUCGCGGCCGCGGGCGUGGGUGGUGAGCAUCACGAUUAAGAAGGAACACACGCACGCACACACACACCUCCUUCCUUCUUCCCUUCCUCUUCCUCUCACCCCGCCCCCCGGGGGGGCGGUACCCUGUUCUCGCGGGGGAGGUUUUGGGGCGGAGGACCGCGGAGGGACUGAGCCCAGGAGGGUGGCUGGCCGCGGAGGAGGGCUUGGGUUCGGCCCGCUGCAGCUGGGUGGCCGGCGCGGCGGCGGCCCCUCCCCCGCUCUCCCUGGCCGCCGCCCCCUCCUCCCUUCGUCCUCCUCCUCCUAUCCCUCCUCCCUGUCCCCCACCCUCCUCCCGGGCCCCGGCAGCUGCGGCUCGGGGAGCAGCCGGCGGCGCCGCGACCGCGCAGCCUUUGUCUCGGACCGCCGGGCGCGCGGGGCCCAGCGCAGCCAGCGUCCAAGCACGAAGCUGUGCACACAGUCGCUCGAGGCAG
rnacentral:lncRNA from 1 species